GUGUAUAAAUUAACAAAAAAAAAUUAUGUGAAAAUCUGAGAGAAAGAUUAAAUAAUACCUGCUUUUUAUAGUUAUUUUUAAUUAUUGUCAUCAAACAUACAUGUAUAGCCUGCUUCAUUUCUUUAAAAAAAAACAAAAAACAAAACCACAUCUCCAAAAAACAAAUAUUGUUAUAAUUUUUAUUACUUUCUACUUUUUCUUAAUAGUAGAAAAUAAUGAAUAAUUAAAAUAAAUAAUUAAAGCAAUAGUAAUUUUAUUAGAGAUGUCACAUGAUUGUGAAAUAUUGGUGUAAGGUUUUGACAGAAAUAUAAUUUUCUACAUAAAUAAUAUACAAAUACAAAUGCACAUUCUUAGACAGUGUUGGAAAUUAGCAACUAGAAACAUUACCUAAGAUUAUAUAAAUUUGUACAAUAUUUUUGUAAGGGAAAAGACAAAGAAUAUUCCACUUGACAUCCUUUGUGUCUCCUGUGAUAUAUAACACAAAACCCAUCAACAUAUAAAUGAUUUGGGUUUCUCCAGAACUUAUUAUUUUUGUCAUUUCUUAAUAUUUUGUUUCUUUUUUUUUUAUGAUUUUCUUUGAUGAUAACAUCUGUAUUGUUAUAUCCCUUUAAUUAGUGGGAGUUAGGUGAUGGAGACCCAAUUCCAUUUAGAUCCUCAAACAAUAUGCUUCUUUUUGUUGCUGGUUUAGUCAUUGAAUGAACAAUCAGAUGUGCAAUGUUAUCUCUCUUAUGAGAUUUCCAUUCACCUGUAGACCUGUCUAAUACUGGUCAUCAACUUUUGCUCAUCGGCUUUCCAUGUCUCUAUAUUAGAGAAAAUAAUUUUGUUAUAAACUUUAGAGAGGUCAAAGAAUAUGUUUCAUAAUUCUUGCAAGGUCAUAUUUUUCAGGUUUUUUUUUUGUUUCUCUGCUGCCUACUUUCAGCAGGGAAAUGGUGUAAAUUUGAUUCUUGUUACACCUUUAAUCACAGACUUGUUGGGAAUUGAUGAUAAUGCAUAUCUUGGGUGGCUCAUUUGUUUAAAAAAAAUUUGUGUAUUGUCAAAAGUCUUUCUAUAUGGAUUUCUGCACAGUGCCGUCACAUCUUAGAUAAAUUCAUUUGUUGUUAUAUGGAAUUUCAAACUCUGAGGGGCAUGUCGAUGUAUGUGAAGAAAGAUGUCGUUUUCCACUGCUUCGUAAUAAAAUUGGUCAGACGUUCAGUUUCAAAUUUCAUUAUGUCAUGGGCAGCAAUGUUGUUUAAUGUGAAGAUGCUAAGAUGCUAUUAAAAAUGUUUUAUUCCACCGGCUGCCAUUGUAAUAACACUUGUCUGUCACUGAAUCUUUUAUUACCAAACAAAGUACUUUUAUAGAUUUUAUUCAUUGUUGUACAUGAAAGACAGAUGUAAUCAGCUGGUCUUUGUGUAGAAUAUCUACCUGGACAGAAAAAGAAAUAUCAACUGGACUGGUUUCAAUCCUGUGUUGGAAUUUCAUUAGUGACUUUAUCAGCUAUCUACUGCCUGUAAACCCACCAUUACUAAAUACUUAAGUAGAUCAAAUAGAUUUAAUUGCAUAUGUAUGUCCUUAGUAACUAGAUUGAUUAACAAGUUACUAGUGUAGUAACAGUAUUUUCUUUUAAUGUUAUAUGUAAUACGGGGUACAUCUAUAGAUGUUAGCCAACAUUAAAAGAUAGAUGUAAGCACCUUGCCUUCUUUGAGCCGAAAAAGAGUAUCCUUCUUAACUACAUUCACUUUGUUUUCUUGUAAUUGCUCUACAAGAAUUCUUAUUAAAAGAUGCACUAUAUUCUUCUUCUGUGGGUCAAACAAAAGGUUUAUUUAAUAAUAUUGAGAAAAUAACCGAAUAUAACUGGCCACUGUAGAAGGCCAGAGGUUACAGUGGUCAAAAUGUUGUAAGUAUAGCAACCAAAAUGAGGUACUAGUUCAAAUGUGUUUAAAUAGAAAAAUAGG